AACGCAAAUUACGCUCGAGGCUUCGGCCAAGAGCAUGUCUGCCUCAGCGUCGGGUUAAUACUCACAUUUGCACGCCAUCCGAAGUGCACAUGUGAAGGCAUGGACCGUUAAAUCGGGCCUCUACUGAGUAGUCAACUUGUUUGCUGUAUUGCUUUAGUAGAUGGCUUGGCUACUGUCUUUGGCACGAAGCAGGAGUAUCUGUUCACACAGGUACACCCAAUACCAUUUUCUCGACCUGAGCUCAGGCAAGAUUACCCGCUGAACUUAA
rnacentral:misc_RNA from 1 species